AACGAACGCUGGCGGCAUGCCUAACACAUGCAAGUCGAACGAGACCUUCGGGUCUAGUGGCGCACGGGUGCGUAACGCGUGGGAACCUGCCCUUAGGUUCGGAAUAACUCCCCGAAAGGGGUGCUAAUACCGGAUAAUGUCUUCGGACCAAAGAUUUAUCGCCUUUGGAUGGGCCCGCGUUGGAUUAGCUAGUUGGUAGGGUAAAAGCCUACCAAGGCGACGAUCCAUAGCUGGUCUGAGAGGAUGAUCGGCCACACUGGGACUGAGACACGGCCCAGACUCCAAAGUGCGGCAGCAGGGGAGAAUAGUGAAAUAUGGGCGGAAGGCAGGUGCAACAGCGCAGAGUCCGGGAAGAAGGACGGUGGGUAGGAAAACGCUUGCGACUGUGACGGAGGCUGAGUGACGGUAAUGAGUAGAGAAGCACCGGCUAACUACGUG
rnacentral:rRNA from 1 species